rnacentral:misc_RNA from 1 species
UCUCGCUUACGCGAGCAGUCUCGCCUGACAAAUAUAACAGACGAUAAGGGUUGCGCUCGUUAAUCCACUUAAGGAAACCAUUCACAUGACGAGCUGACGACAGCCGUGCAGCACCUGUCCAAGUGUCUUGCGAGGGUCCUAGUUUCUUAGGAUUUUCACUUGGAUUUCAAGCCUUGGUGAGGUUCCUCGCUCAGUGUCGAAUUGAACCACAUGAUCCACCGCUUGUGCGAAUUCCCGCCUAUUUCUUUGAGUUUUAAUCUUGCGAUCGUACUUCCCAGGCGACACACUUAACGCGUUGGCUUCGCCACUGGAAGGGUCGAUGCUCCCAAUAGCUAGUGUGUAUUGUUUAGGGCGUGGACUA